GUCCUCGUAGCUCAGCUGGAUAGAGCACACGAUUCCUAAUCGUGAGGCCAUGCGUUCAAAUCGCAUCGAGGACACCA
rnacentral:tRNA from 1 species